GGCGGCAUGCCUUACACAUGCAAGUCGAACGGCAGCAUGAUCUAGCUUGCUAGAUUGAUGGCGAGUGGCGAACGGGUGAGUAAUACAUCGGAACGUGCCCUGUAGUGGGGGAUAACUAGUCGAAAGAUUAGCUAAUACCGCAUACGACCUGAGGGUGAAAGUGGGGGACCGCAAGGCCUCAUGCUAUAGGAGCGGCCGAUGUCUNNNNNNCUAGUUGGUGAGGUAAAGGCUCACCAAGGCGACGAUCAGUAGCUGGUCUGAGAGGACGAUCAGCCACACUGGGACUGAGACACGGCCCAGACUCCUACGGGAGGCAGCAGUGGGGAAUUUUGGACAAUGGGCGAAAGCCUGAUCCAGCAACGCCGCGUGUGUGAAGAAGGCCUUCGGGUUGUAAAGCACUUUUGUCCGGAAAGAAAUGGCCUUGGUUAAUACCUGAGGUCGAUGACGGUACCGGANNAAUAAGGACCGGCUAACUACGUGCCAGCAGCCGCGGUAAUACGUAGGGUCCAAGCGUUAAUCGGAAUUACUGGGCGUAAAGCGUGCGCAGGCGGUUGUGCNNNACCGAUGUGAAAUCCCCGGGCUUAACC
rnacentral:rRNA from 1 species